rnacentral:rRNA from 1 species
GACGAACGCUGGCGGCGUGCUUAACACAUGCAAGUCGAGCGAUGAAGUUCCUUCGGGAAUGGAUUAGCGGCGGACGGGUGAGUAACACGUGGGUAACCUGCCUCAUAGAGGGGAAUAGCCUUUCGAAAGGAAGAUUAAUACCGCAUAAGAUUGUAGCUUCGCAUGAAGUAGCAAUUAAAGGAGUAAUCCGCUAUGAGAUGGACCCGCGUCGCAUUAGCUAGUUGGUGAGGUAACGGCUCACCAAGGCGACGAUGCGUAGCCGACCUGAGAGGGUGAUCGGCCACAUUGGGACUGAGACACGGCCCAGACUCCUACGGGAGGCAGCAGUGGGGAAUAUUGCACAAUGGGGGAAACCCUGAUGCAGCAACGCCGCGUGAGUGAUGACGGUCUUCGGAUUGUAAAGCUCUGUCUUCAGGGACGAUAAUGACGGUACCUGAGGAGGAAGCCACGGCUAACUACGUGCCAGCAGCCGCGGUAA